UACCAGACUCCUACGGGAGGCAGCAGUGAGGAAUAUUGGUCAAUGGCCGAGAGGCUGAACCAGCCAAGUCGCGUGAGGGAAGACGGCCCUACGGGUUGUAAACCUCUUUUGUCGGGGAGCAAAGAGAGUCACGUGCGACUCAUUGAGAGUACCCGAAGAAAAAGCAUCGGCUAACUCCGUGCCAGCAGCCGCGGUAAUACGGAGGAUGCGAGCGUUAUCCGGAUUUAUUGGGUUUAAAGGGUGCGCAGGCGGGGGUGCAAGUCGGGGGUAAAAUGGCGGGGCCCACCCCCGGCCCGCCGUUGAAACUGGCGUUCUUGAGUGGGCGAGAAGUAUGCGGAAUGCGUGGUGUAGCGGUGAAAUGCAUAGAUAUCACGCAGAACUCCGAUUGCGAAGGCAGCAUACCGGCGCCCUACUGACGCUGAGGCACGAAAGCGUGGGUAUCGAACAGGAUUAGAUACCCCAGUA
rnacentral:rRNA from 1 species